rnacentral:lncRNA from 1 species
GGGAUGGGGCAUCCUGAGAGCCAAACUGCCAUUAUUGUUAUUUCUGUUCUGGAUUUAGCCACUCAGCGGAGCUACUGGGCUCCAGGCCGGUACUGGGGAAUAUCUGCAAAGAGUCCUGUGAUGUUAUCCGUCUUCAGGUCUUUCAGCCAUGGAUACAAGCACCUGCUCUGGUGGAGGUAGCAGGGAACUGAAGUAGACUCUGUGAGGGGUCCGUGGUUGUAUUUUUAAGUGCACUGAUUUUGUGUUGGCUGGCCUCCAGCCAAAAGGUAGCACUUUCAAAAGUGCAUCAGCUGCAGUAGUAUAGGGAGGAUACAAGCUUGCCCAAGUAUCAGGUGGUGGGCAGGGCUAUAGAGCUCCCAAGAGAUUAUGUCCUUUGUCUCCAGCUACCAGGGUGGGUGGAGAAAGAUCAUCACGUUGAGGCGGGGUUAGGCUGUCUGAGUUCAGACUCUCCUUGGGUGGAGCUUGCUGCAGCUGCUGUGGGGGAUGGAGUUGUGGUUUCCCAGGCCAGUGGAGUUAUGGUCCCAGAGGGAUUAUGGCUGCCACUGCUGCAUCACACAGGUUGCCAGGAAAGUGGGGGAAACCCGGCAACCACAGGCCUCACCCGUCUCCCAUGCAGCCCAAAAGUCCAGUCUCACUCCCACCAUGUCCCCGCAAACAGCACUGAAUUUAUUUCCAGGCAACCAGUGAGCAAGGCUGAGAACUUGUCCCAGGUUACGAGACUCCCAGGUACAGUCAUGUGCCGCAUAAUGACAUUCAGUCAAUGACAGACUGCAUAUAUGAGGUGGUCCUGUAAGGUGAUAAUGGAGCUGAAAAAUUCCUACUACUGAACGACAUCAUAGCCAUUGUAACAUCAUAGCACAACCAAUCACCUUUUCUAUAUUUAGGAGCAAAGGCAAUACAAUGGAGAAGACAGUCUUUUAACAAAGGUGCUGGAAUAACUGGACAGCCAUGCACACACACAGAAAAGAAUCGAGACACAGACUUUACAUCUUCACAAAGGUACAACACUGAAGGCACCGCCCAUGAAAGAAACAACUGAUAGGCUGAACUCCAUUAAAAUUAAAAGCUUUUGCUCUGCAAAUACAAGAGAAUGAGAACACAAACCAUAAGGAGUUCAUAUGCUGGAAUGAUAGUGACACAGGAGUUUAACACUCCUACAGUAUCCAGAGCCUGGAUCCCUGAGUCAUCAGAUGGAGAAGAACUACUCAGGAGAGUCAUCCAACCUUCAUAGACAGUGGCAUGAGUGGG